rnacentral:rRNA from 1 species
GAUGAACGCUGGCGGCGUGCCUAAUACAUGCGAGUCGAGCGAACGGACGAGAAGCUUGCUUCUCUGAUGUUAGCGGCGGACGGGUGAGUAACACGUGGAUAACCUACCUAUAAGACUGGGAUAACUUCGGGAAACCGGAGCUAAUACCGGAUGAUAUUUUGAACCGCAUGGUUCAAAAGUGAAAGACGGUCUUGCUGUCACUUAUAGAUGGAUCCGCGCUGCAUUAGCUAGUUGGUAAGGUAACGGCUUACCAAGGCAACGAUGCAUAGCCGACCUGAGAGGGGGAUCGGCCACACGGGAACUGAGACACGGUCCAGACUCCUACGGGAGGCAGCAGUAGGGAAUCUUCCGCAAUGGGCGAAAGCCUGACGGAGCAACGCCGCGUGAGUGAUGAAGGUCUUCGGAUCGUAAAACUCUGUUAUUAGGGAAGAACAUAUGUGUAAGUAACUGUGCACAUCUUGACGGUACCUAAUCAGAAAGCCACGGCUAACUACGUG